CUGGUGUCCACGGUGAUGGUAUGGUGCCGGGUCCAACUGAAAACAGAAUAAGAACACAACAUUUAUUAUAAAACAAGUAAUAUUUUUAGAUGCCCGCCCAAAAAUCACAUAUAUAGCACUUGCGUUUCAAGAUUUAGGGAUUAUGUGGGACUAAAAAAAAUUGUGCCUCCUGCAAGGAAUACACAAAUUGGUAAGAGUGGUUGUCUGAACAUGACUUUGGCGAGUUAUUACGAAACAUUCGCUGUAUACAGCGGAUAUAUCUACAUAUAUCUCUACCCAAAUGCGAGUCUCAAGCAGAUCUUUGGUCCAAGUCGGAGCAAACCAAGGGGCAAACCAUUCGUCUGUGUAAAAGAAAUUCUUUGUCUCAUACCAGCGAAGAUACGAACGACAACAGGAACGGCAACAGAACGGAAAAACGGCAAACGGCACAGAAGAAUCGACGGACCGGGAACCAAAAUAAAUGCGCAAUGCAUACAUGGAGCGCACACGAGAGCGGGAUGGCAAUACAACGUGACAUUCCUUAAAUUUUUGUUUGUGUUCAGGGAACAUUAAAAAAUAUUUUUAUCUUGUGCAAAAGAACCAACUUCUGAUGGGAAGAAUCCUUUUUUUCAAGUUGCUGCUUUUGCCGCUUUGACGAUGCCGACGAUGCCGACGAUGCUGCCGUGCUCCGCUUCUUCGCCGCUGCUUUUGUAGUUUGUAGUUUUAAGGGGGAACUGGAACUGGCCAAACCGAAUCCCGAAAGUUUCUCGGGAAGAAGGAACUAAGAAAAAUGUACAGUGUGCCGAAGAAUUCUCUUCAACAAUAAACAAAAGAAAACUAUGGAAAAAUGUGCCUACAAAGUUAACAAAACCUAUACAUCGAAGUUGUCAUU